rnacentral:lncRNA from 1 species
CGGGAAUAAAGCAAAGACCAGACUGCCUCCCUCCUGAGACGCCUCGGCACCGGCAACUGUGCUUCUCCAGCCCAGGCUGCCUCCUCCUUGGCGGCAACGCCGAAGGUCUCCAUGGCCAAGCCUAGAGCCACAGACCCUAUCCCCUCCCACCAGCCAACAGGAAACUAAAGCCGUGAAAAUACCAAGCUUUGUGGCCAGAAAAAAAAAAAUUCACCGGAAGUAAAAUUUAAAUUGAAGCCUAAGUCCGCUGGGCCAGCAGCAAGCAGCAAAGGCCUUGAUUUGCAGACACAUGCUCUGCCCCCAGCCACACUUCCUUCGUAUUUCCCAAGCCCAGGGUCUCCAAAGACAGAAGGAAGGGGCUUUGGGCUGAGUCUGUCCGUCACGAAGAGGCAGCCUUCUGGGAAAUCAAGGUUAAGGCAGAGGUGUCCUCAGGGGGUCCCCGGUGUGGGGCACUGAGGACUGUAAACAGGACCUACGUGAGACCGGGUGUCCCAGCCCCGAGGUUGUCUCUGCCUGAAGAACUGGCACUGCGGUGACUAGGAAGAUGGGAACAGCGGUCAGCCAGCAGCAAGACGAGACCCCGUCUCCCCUAGGAAUACCGGGGGUGGAGUGAGCCAGAAGGGGGCAUGCGAG